rnacentral:rRNA from 1 species
UACGUAGGGUGCGAGCGUUGUCCGGAUUUAUUGGGCGUAAAGAGCUCGUAGGUGGUUCGGUAAGUCGGAUGUGAAAUCUCCAGGCUCAACCUGGAGGGGUCAUUCGAUACUGCCGUGACUAGAGGUCGGUAGGGGAGUGUGGAAUUCCUGGUGGAGCGGUGAAAUGCGCAGAUAUCAGGAAGAACACCUAUGGCGAAGGCAGCUCUCUGGGACGGUACUGACGCUGAGACGCGAAAGCGUGGGGAGCGAACAGG